rnacentral:rRNA from 1 species
CCUACGGGAGGCUGCAGUGGGGAAUAUUGGACAAUGGGGGGAACCCUGAUCCAACCAUGCCGCGUGUGUGAAGAAGGCCCUCGGGUUGUAAAGCACUUUCAGUGAGGAAGAACGCCUGGUGGUUAAUACCCAUCAGGAAAGACAUCACUCACAGAAGAAGCACCGGCUAACUCCGUGCCAGCAGCCGCGGUAAUACGGAGGGUGCGAGCGUUAAUCGGAAUUACUGGGCGUAAAGCGCGCGUAGGUGGCUUGAUAAGCCGGUUGUGAAAGCCCCGGGCUCAACCUGGGAACGGCAUCCGGAACUGUCAAGCUAGAGUGCAGGAGAGGAAGGUAGAAUUCCCGGUGUAGCGGUGAAAUGCGUAGAGAUCGGGAGGAAUACCAGUGGCGAAGGCGGCCUUCUGGACUGACACUGACACUGAGGUGCGAAAGCGUGGGUAGCAAACAGGAUUAGAUACCCGUGUAGUC